UACGGGGGGGGCAAGCGUUGUUCGGAAUUAUUGGGCGUAAAGAGCUCGUAGGCGGUCUGUCGCGUCUGCUGUGAAAACUCAGGGCUUAACCCUGAGCUUGCAGUGGGUACGGGCAGACUAGAGUGCGGUAGGGGAGACUGGAAUUCCUGGUGUAGCGGUGAAAUGCGCAGAUAUCAGGAGGAACACCGGUGGCGAAGGCGGGUCUCUGGGCAACAACUGACGCUGAGGAGCGAAAGCGUGGGGAGCGAACAGG
rnacentral:rRNA from 1 species